CGUACUCCCACGAAUUGUAACAUUUUUGCCAAAAAAAAAUACUUGCGUGCCAGGAAGAAAAACCUGAAGUAAAACAAACCAUUUGGUGUCAAAAAUCAUUGCUACUGUUGUGAUGGUCGAACACAUCCUGUGGGACUGCAAUUGCUCACUUAUUGGAGAUCAGAAUACUAAACAAGGUUUAGACAUGCUUUUUCUACAAUAAAGGAUGAAUUUUGCCUGUACUGCUUAAUUAUUUAUGGAGCUCAUCUACUCAUUAAAGUGAAAAAAGAUUGAAGCUAAGAUAAGAAUUUGAACAUGAAGAACAUGUGUUCUCUAAGUCAAUGGUAGCCAGAAGAACUGAAAGGAUGGAUUUGCCGUAAGGUGACGUCCUAAGGUUCAAGUCAAAGGAAUGAAGUUUCUUGGGGACCGUCUGCUUAAACAGCAUCGCGUGUUAUCUAAUUUGCAUGGUUUGGAUCCUAUGAGGAAGAAGCUGGUUUAAAUUCUAGAAAGAAUAAUUGGAAGGUAUGAAGUGAAUAUGCGCUUGCUUGGCAGCUCGCGUUAACUACAAGACUUUGAUUAGCAUCUGCGCUCUGUUUACCCUGGUCAC